UUUGGUCUCCCUUUGGUGUGCUGAACCACUGGUGCCCCAAGUGUUUUCAGUGGCUGAUGCUAAUGCGCAGUUUAGGCUUUGGUCUGGUUCCUUCUACUGGUGUUCAUGCUGCAGGAUUUGCUUAUCCCAGGGAAGAUUCGUUGGGUCUUUUAGGUGAAUAGCAACACCAAGGAACUGGCAGUAACAGGGAAAUAGUUGGGCAGACUGCUGUUUCAAAGUUCUAUCGUAGAGGGAACGUUGGAACAACACACUUCUUCCCCAGUUUUUUUCUGGUUUAUGCUGUCAUUGUUGUGCCUUUAUUCCCUAAGGCGUGCAGGUUGGAGGCUGUGAGGAAACGUCUAGUUAUCUACGUCAUGGAUUGUGGCCAUCAGUUUUGCCAGGUUGAAAAGAAUGGUUGUAAGAACGUACAGGGCGCAUCCAAAGCUUAACAUGGGGCAUUCGGAUGAAGACGUUGAAGAGCAAGAGGGUGAUGGAGGUUUUUUGGUUCGCGGGGAAGUUUGGAGGUGCUGCUAUCACAGUUUGCGUUUAUUCUUCUAGUGUUAUAGAGGUUUGUGUAAGGCUUUAGUUUCUUAUAGCAAAUGGUCUAUCUUCCUUAAGUGGGUGACCCUCUUUGUUGGCUUGUUUUAAUAUAGUUUGGUUAGUGUAAAAGGGUUGG
rnacentral:lncRNA from 1 species